rnacentral:rRNA from 1 species
UGGGGAAUCUUGGACAAUGGGGGCAACCCUGAUCCAGCCAUGCCGCGUGAGUGAUGAAGGCCUUAGGGUCGUAAAGCUCUUUCGCCUGUGAAGAUAAUGACGGUAGCAGGUAAAGAAACCCCGGCUAACUCCGUGCCAGCAGCCGCGGUAAUACGGAGGGGGUUAGCGUUGUUCGGAAUUACUGGGCGUAAAGCGCACGUAGGCGGACCAGAAAGUUGGGGGUGAAAUCCCGGGGGCUCAACCCCGGAACUGCCUCCAAAACUAUUGGUCUAGAGUUCGAGAGAGGUGAGUGGAAUUCCAAGUGUAGAGGUGAAAUGCGUAGAUAUUUGGAGGAACACCAGUGGCGAAGGCGGCUCACUGGCUCGAUACUGACGCUGAGGUGCGAAAGUGUGGGGAGCAAACAGGAUUAGAUACCCUGGUAGUCCACACCGUAAACGAUGAAUGCCAGUCGUCGGGUAGCAUGCUAUUCGGUGACACACCUAACGGAUUAAGCAUUCCGCCU